rnacentral:rRNA from 1 species
AUUGAACGCUGGCGGAAUGCUUUACACAUGCAAGUCGAACGGCAGCACGGACUUCGGUCUGGUGGCGAGUGGCGAACGGCUGAGUAAUGUAUCGGCACGUGCCCAGUCGUGGGGGAUAACGUGGUGAAAAUUACGCUAAUACCGCAUACGAUCUAUGGAUGAAAGCGGGGGAUCGCAAGACCUCGCGCGAUUGGAGCGGCCUAUAUCAGAUUAGGUAGUUGGUGGGGUAAGGGCGCACCAAGCCAACGAUCUUUAGCUGGUCUGAGAGGACGACCAGCCACACUGGAACUGAGACACGGUCCAGACUCCUACGGGAGGCAGCAGUGGGGAAUUUUGGACAAUGGGCGAAAGCCUGAUCCAGCCAUUCCGCGUGCAGGAUGAAGGCCCUCGGGUUGUAAACUGCUUUUGUACAGAACGAAAAGGUUUCUACUAAUACUAGGAGCUCAUGACGGUACUGUAAGAAUAAGCACCGGCUAACUACGUGCCAGCCGCCGCCGUAA